rnacentral:rRNA from 1 species
AUGAACGCUAGCGGCAGGCUUAACACAUGCAAGUCGAGGGGCAGCAUAAUGGAUAGCAAUAUCUAUGGUGGCGACCGGCGCACGGGUGCGUAACGCGUAUGCAACCUACCUUUAACAGGGGGAUAACACUGAGAAAUUGGUACUAAUACCCCAUAAUAUCAUAGAAGGCAUCUUUUAUGGUUGAAAAUUCCGAUGGUUAGAGAUGGGCAUGCGUUGUAUUAGCUAGUUGGUGGGGUAACGGCUCACCAAGGCGACGAUACAUAGGGGGACUGAGAGGUUAACCCCCCACACUGGUACUGAGACACGGACCAGACUCCUACGGGAGGCAGCAGUGAGGAAUAUUGGUCAAUGGACGCAAGUCUGAACCAGCCAUGCCGCGUGCAGGAUGACGGCUCUAUGAGUUGUAAACUGCUUUUGUACGAGGGUAAACGCAGAUACGUGUAUCUGUCUGAAAGUAUCGUACGAAUAAGGAUCGGCUAACUCCGUGCCAGCAGCCGCGGUAAUACGGAGGAUUCAAGCGUUAUCCGGAUUUAUUGGGUUUAAAGGGUGCGUAGGCGGUUUGAUAAGUUAGAGGUGAAAUUUCGGGGCUCAACCCUGAACGUGCCUCUAAUACUGUUGAGCUAGAGAGUAGUUGCGGUAGGCGGAAUGUAUGGUGUAGCGGUGAAAUGCUUAGAGAUCAUACAGAACACCGAUUGCGAAGGCAGCUUACCAAACUAUAUCUGACGUUGAGGCACGAAAGCGUGGGGAGCAAACAGGAUUAGAUACCCUGGUAGUCCACGCAGUAAACGAUGAUAACUCGUUGUCGGCGAUACACAGUCGGUGACUAAGCGAAAGCGAUAAGUUAUCCACCUGGGGAGUACGUUCGCAAGAAUGAAACUCAAAGGAAUUGACGGGGGCCCGCACAAGCGGUGGAGCAUGUGGUUUAAUUCGAAGCAACGCGAAGAACCUUACCAGGUCUUGACAUCGAUCUAAAAGGGAUGGAGACAUCCUCAUAGCUAUAGAGAAGACAGGUGGUGCAUGGUUGUCGUCAGCUCGUGCCGUGAGGUGUCGGGUUAAGUCCCAUAACGAGCGCAACCCCUACCGUUAGUUGCCAUCAGGUGAAGCUGGGCACUCUGGCGGGACUGCCGGUGUAAGCCGAGAGGAAGGUGGGGAUGACGUCAAAUCAGCACGGCCCUUACGUCCGGGGCUACACACGUGUUACAAUGGUAGGUACAGAGGGCAGCUACCCAGCGAUGGGAUGCGAAUCUCGAAAGCCUAUCUCAGUUCGGAUUGGAGGCUGAAACCCGCCUCCAUGAAGUUGGAUUCGCUAGUAAUCGCGCAUCAGCCAUGGCGCGGUGAAUACGUUCCCGGGCCUUGUACACACCGCCCGUCAAGCCAUGGGAGCCGGGGGUGCCUGAAGUUCGUGACCGCAAGGAGCGACCUAGGGCAAAACUGGUGACUGGGGCU